UGAUGGUGGAAGUCAGUGACAAGAGC
rnacentral:piRNA from 1 species